GUCCCUAUAGCGCAAUGGAUAGCGUAUUGAAAUUCCAAUCCAAAGGCCGUGGGUUUGAAUCCCACCUGGGAUG